UUGGUUCUUAUUUUUGUUUAUGUUGUUCGUUGUUCCAAUAUUGUUGCUUUAUGCUCUUCUUAUUAACAAAAUGUGAAGCAAUAUAUUAUCACAGGUUAUUGUGCUUUUUAAGACUUACGAGAUGGAGUUGAAAGACAAAUAGAUGUUUAGGAAUGUUCUUGUCAUUCAAGAACCAAAUCGAUUAGGCAAGAAGGAAUUAUAGUUUUUGGUGGUGGAUCUCAUAAACAAGUGUUGACUUACAAUGAUUAGAUAGUAUUGUUUUUCUUAAUUCUUUGGUAUAUAUAUUAUUCCUAGCUUUUAACAUUAGUUUUGUAAAUUGUCAAUAAAGGAUUGGAGGAUAACUUGUACAUAUUUAUGGAUUUAUUUAAUAAAAAUGAAAAAAAAUGUCCAUUA